rnacentral:rRNA from 1 species
GACGAACGCUGGCGGCGUGCCUAAUACAUGCAAGUAGAACGCUGAAGAGAGGAGCUUACUCUUCUUGGAUGAGUUGCGAACGGGUGAGUAACGCGUAGGUAACCUGCCUUGUAGUGGGGGAUAACUAUUGGAAACGAUAGCUAAUACCGCAUAACAAUGGAUGACACAUGUCAUUUAUUUGAAAGGGGCAAUUGCUCCACUACAAGAUGGACCUGCGUUGUAUUAGCUAGUAGGUGAGGUAAUGGCUCACCUAGGCGACGAUACAUAGCCGACCUGAGAGGGUGAUCGGCCACACUGGGACUGAGACACGGCCCAGACUCCUACGGGAGGCAGCAGUAGGGAAUCUUCGGCAAUGGGGGCAACCCUGACCGAGCAACGCCGCGUGAGUGAAGAAGGUUUUCGGAUCGUAAAGCUCUGUUGUAAGUCAAGAACGGGUGUGAGAGUGGAAAGUUCACACUGUGACGGUAGCUUACCAGAAAGGGACGGCUAACUACGUG